GACGAACGCUGGCGGCGUGCUUAACACAUGCAAGUCGUACGGUAAGGCCCUUUCGGGGGUACACGAGUGGCGAACGGGUGAGUAACACGUGAGUAACCUGCCCACAACUUUGGGAUAACGCUAGGAAACUGGUGCUAAUACUGGAUAUGUGCUCCUGCUGCAUGGUGGGGGUUGGAAAGCUCCGGCGGUUGUGGAUGGACUCGCGGCCUAUCAGCUUGUUGGUGGGGUAGUGGCCUACCAAGGCGGCGUCGGGUAGCCGGCCUGAGAGGGUGACCGGCCACAUUGGGACUGAGAUACGGCCCAGACUCCUACGGGAGGCAGCAGUGGGGAAUAUUGCACAAUGGGCGCAAGUCUGAUGCAGCAACGCCGCGUGCGGGAUGACGGCCUUCGGGUUGUAAACCGCUUUCAGCAGGGACGAAGCUUUUUGUGACGGUACCUGCAGAAGAAGCACCGGCUAACUACGUG
rnacentral:rRNA from 1 species